CUUAUCAUUUUAAGUUUUACCGAGCCUUUAGCCUUCUCAUUACCAUCCAUAAGAUGCCUUUAGGCAAAGAAUUUAUCUGUUUAUUUUCAGGAUAUCUUUUGGGCUUAUCUUAAUAUUACCAUUAUUUUUGAAUAGAGCAGUGAAUAGUUAUAGCUGAGCCUGACAUCUACAAUGUUAACUAAGAGUAACUGAGUGUGUAAAGAAGUGCAACAAAAUGAGACAGGUCAGAUACGGUUCUUCCUCCAACUAGGAUCAGAUAAAAAAAAAGGAAUUGUAGAGUAAAAGCCUUGUGAAAAUGCCAUAUUUUGUGAUCUUAAAUACACUAUCAUGUUGAUAGGUAGAAAUGGCCAUUUGAUUAUUAAUUACUUUUUGGCAGUUAGACUAUACCUUGAAACAUUAUUAUAGAACUAUAUCAGUCAGCUCAGUCUUGUUACAUUCUGAAUAUAUAGAUCUGUUCAAGACAGUGGGAACAUAAAGAGAUCCUUGUUGUAUUCUAUAUAAAACUAUUCUUAAAAAAGCAGAAAAAGAAAUCAUGUGAAAAGAUUAGUGCAUUUAACAAAUACCAUUACCUUGAAAACUGCAACAUGUUUAUGUCAUUUUACAAUUGCACUUUUUGUCCUAGCAUUUGGUACUUGUGUAAAAUAUAUUUUUUAUUACUUUAUGUAUUUCUCUAUAAAAGCAAGAUUGUAAUAUAUCAGAGAUAACAUUUUGUUCAUGGUUUCAUGUUCACUAAGACAUUUCUUUUUAAUUAAGCACACAUGAAACAAAGUUAUUUCAACUUCUGUUAGUAUAUUAAAAAUGAGUUUAAGAUAUUGCAACAUUUAAGAAAACUGCAAAUAUUUUUAGGCUUGGUGAUGUGCCGCAAAGAUAAUGUUAUGGAUUAUUGAUUUACUAAGCAAAUAAAAUGAAGCUAUCUAAUGUAUACUCUUUAAAUGUUCUAAGUAGUAUACCCUCUACAGCACAUUGUACUGGUUAUGGUGCUGCAGUCUGACAAAAAAGGGUGCGUUCCUGGUGUCUAUGCAUAGCCCUUUGCCUGCUUGUCUGUUAAUGUGGAAGUGAAUUUUGAGAUUAUCCAGUUCAACUUUAGUCUGCAAUGACAGUCUGAAAGGACGUGGCUAAACCUACUUCCAAAUGGAGCUGUCAAAAAAUAUUCAUAAAUCUAUAGAUUAGUUGUUUUGUUUUUAACUGAAGAAAUAUCUCAGGAUAAUUCCCAUUGACCUUAAAUUUCAAAGCUCAAUGAUUAUCCUCUGGGACUCUGCAUAGGACAUGUUUUUUCUUCUGGUCCCAGAGGAUAAUGAUAUUGUUAUAAACUUAGGUUAUACCCUGAUCUAUUCAAAUUGUGACUGACGUCCUCCAAAUCACAUCCUUCCUGCUAUUAUCUAGGGCAAAGUUAUGCCCUGGUCCCCCCAAAUAAGGAAUGAACAUUAAUUUUGGAAACAGUUAGCAUAAAUUUGGUAGAUAAUGAGGCAAUUUAGAAAAUGAAUUAUCAAUUUGCACUAGAUUUACUAUUUUUGAUAAUCUAUCAUAUCUGAAUGAGGUAUAGGGAAGCUAAAUGUUUAUAAAAAAAAAAAAAUAGCUCACAAAUACUACAGGAAUGCAAUCCCAAAUAAUUCCAGAGUGACUUGCCAAUAUAAAAAAAAUGCUAAGCAUCAUGGGAAAUAAAAUACUACAGUGGAUGGGAUCUACUAUUUGGAAGCCACUAUUGUAAAUAUUAAGGAUUAGUUAAGAAUCCCUUUACAUUAAUGUACAUUAAAGAGAAAUGUAGGUAAAGGGAGGUUCAUUUGAAUAGUGUCAUGGGGACAGCAUAUUCUUUGGCACUCUGGGAGGGAUAGUAAGGGAUGUGUAGUAAUAUGAUAAGAUAAAGGCAUCUCUCAGCAUAAAAAAUUAUUUGAAUAAUGGUAAAAUGUACUAAUUCUUGCCAGGGAACUGUACAUUCACGUGUAUGGGUAGUUAUGUUUAUUGUAUUAUUAUUCAAUGCUAUGGAACUUGGUACUCUUCAUCAUGGUGCCCAUUGUGUCCAUUGGAUCCCCAGUGAUCCUAUUUUAACAUUUUAACUUGCUGUGCAUGUUUAAUAGAAGUAGAGGUCCAUAAGGCAGGACCUUCUAUGGGCACAGGGUAAGUCAUCUGCAGCUGAAUAAUAAUUAUUUGUAAUUCCCCAACCAAUCACAUGAGAUAGGUGAAGGAACAGGUGGGCAGCUGUGGAUUCCGAUCUACUCAAUUACAUUUUCAACUCUGGCACAGCGUUUGGGGAGUAACUAAUACUUAAUAUUUCCCAUAACAGUGCACAGGUUUGUAGAUUUGGAAGGAUCAGAUCAUUCAAUAAUGUUUCCAGUCAUAGGUCCCUCCAGGGUAAUUGGGGUCUGGGGCCUUGUGUUGUUUAUUUUUAUUAUGCACUAUUUGCUCACAGAUGUCUUGAACAGUUUGGAGGAUAUUUGUAAAUUAUUGGAGUUUGGUAAAUCUCCGAAUGCAUACUACGUGUGACCAUUUGUUUUUCAAUUUAUUAGCAGAUUACUCAGUGCAUUGUGAGUAUAUACUAUAGUGUGUCUUUGACUCAUUGAUUGUGUUUGGUGUAUAUACAAUUAGUAGUCCAAUAGAAAAUAUGUGAAUUGCCACCAACUAUUGAUAAACCAGUCUGUUUGGAUUUCCAAAAAUCAGAUAGAAAAAGCAUAUUAUACUUGUACUUGGCCUAUAUCAAUAGAAGAUAUUAUGUUAUAGAAUUUGCAAAAUAUAAUGUGCAUCAAUAUCAUUAUAUUUUUUACUUUGCUUUUACUUUCACUGACAGGCACUACUGUAAAACAUAAUUUGAUACAGUACGCAAGUAAUGUUUUUAGUCCCAUAUUAAGUACAUUAUAGUGCAUUUUGUUGGUGAAAAUGAUUGAAAGAGCACAAGUGAAUAAAUAUGCCUUUACGGAUGUUUGAUCUACUGUUCAGAUGCAGGUGUUUACUGUUCAAGUGGUAUGUGAAACAAUCUGUUUGACUAUAACCAGAUGCAUUUAUAUGUUCUAACAAUUAAAUACAAAACGGGUGUUUUGCAUGUAAUCAGUGGGUUGGGAGGAAUGUACACUGUUGUUUGUUGCAAUCUAUUUAUUAAAAAGCUAUUCAUUUCAACCAUUUAUCCUGUUUCCUACUUAUCACCAGCUUUAUGUUGUGUCAUUCCCAGUGAGAGCAUGGCAGUGGCAUUUAACAUAUUUUAAUUACAGAGUCAUGUUGCUUUAAGAUACAUGUGGAAAUAUUAACACAUUUGGCAAUGUUUAGCAUUAGGUAUAUACUACUACCUAAAUGUAUACACGAAAAUAAUUCAAC
rnacentral:lncRNA from 1 species